rnacentral:rRNA from 1 species
UACGAAGGGGGCUAGCGUUGCUCGGAAUCACUGGGCGUAAAGCGCACGUAGGCGGAUUGCUAAGUCAGGGGUGAAAUCCUGGAGCUCAACUCCAGAACUGCCCUUGAUACUGGCGAUCUCGAGUCCGGGAGAGGUGAGUGGAACUGCGAGUGUAGAGGUGAAAUUCGUAGAUAUUCGCAAGAACACCAGUGGCGAAGGCGGCUCACUGGCCCGGUACUGACGCUGAGGUGCGAAAGCGUGGGGAGCAAACAGG